rnacentral:rRNA from 1 species
GAUCCCCAAAGCUCAGAAAAGCGUGCUUGUCUCCUAUGAGCUUCUUACUGCGGCAUGCGGCUGGCUCCUUAAAUGGUAUAAUCUAUUCAUGGUGUUCACUACGUGGAUUGUGUGGUAAUUCUUAACUAAUAAAUGCGCCCCAACCCGACUUCGUGGAAGGGUUGUGUUUAUCUAAUGCAUGACCAACCCAAGAUCUGCCUGGUAUUGUGGUGUUUCCUAUUAACCGAACGAAACCCUUGGCUUCCGCUGGCGAUAAAUCAUUCCCGUUCCUGACCUAACAGCUUCCGACGGUAUUGUAUUCUCCUACCGUGGCAAUGACAGGUAACCGAAAAUUACGGUCCUAUUUCUGAGAGGAAGCCUAACAAAUCACUACCACGUCUAAGGAAGGCUACACGCGCACAAAUGACCCAACCCUGACACAGGGAGGUAGUGACAAGAAUAACAAUACAGGGCAUCCAUGACUUGUACUUGGACUGAGUAUAAUUUAAAUCCCUUCUCCA